GGGCGGGCGCCUUGCCCCUGGGUCCGCUCGGCCUCCCGCUCGUUCCCGUUGCUUCUAGACUCUUCUAGAUAUUGGAUAAUUGCGGUGCACGUUAAUAUCUCUAUGUAAACCCGACGUGUGGGCCUUUCCUCCAUAUUUCCUGAUAACCCCCUGUAGAAAUAGAUAAACACCAAAACUCGUGGAAUUCUGUCAGAUAAAACCCUUAGUCUGGGUGUCGGUUGCAUUUGAAUCCUUUUCUCUAUUUACUUGUUGAUUAUAUUUGAUACUUAAGGACCGUCAACAAACUCCCCCAAGCUUACCUCUUGCUCACCCCUGAGCAAGGAUAAUCUUACUGAUGGAUUAGAAGUUUCUGUAAUGCCUUUAAAAGUUGACGGUACACAUGCUUUCAAAUGAGGUCUCAUCUCUGAGUUAGAGUAAACUAUCAAGACUUAAAACUUACUCAUUUUACCUUUUACCAUGGGACUUGUAACCGUCACUUCUGUCUUGAGCAGUUAAAAGAUAGAACGGUCUAGUCAAGCGCCUUGUCUCUUAUUCUUGAUCAGCUAUAGCUCUGGAAUUUUUGCAGAUUUUCAAAUAAAACUCAGAGAUUCCUUGUAUGACUCUCUCAGAUCUCUCUUUUGUGGUAUUUCUGGAUCCUUACUAAGGCAGUGAUGGUAUAUGCCUUCACUCAAAGUAUGUAGUAUUUAUGGUAUGAAGCAUAGUAAACUUGCCUUCUCUCUCACCCUACUUGAAUAAGGCUUUUGAUAUCUGGAGCUCAUAGGUGGGAGAUAGAGUAUACAUACUUACAAGACAUUUAUUGCAUAGUCAAACCAUGGAUCCAGAGAAAUAAGUCAAUAAGUCAAAUCAAGAUGUGCAUGUGUGGCGAAUGAAUGGUGUAUGGUGAUGAUGGUGAUAACAAUGGUGAAAGUUUAAUUCUACUUGUGCUCUUUUUGAGAGAUACAUACCUUUCUUGCUCUUUGAAAUUGAGGAGAAUGAGAUGCUCUAUAUUUUAUUUUUCUUUCCUCUCAGGUGGGUAUUGCACCCCUAAUUCUACUGUCGGACACUUGUCCAUUUUUACCUCUCGUCUCACUUUUUCUUUUCUUUCGAGGUUCCGGGCACUUGCCCCUUUUUAUUUCCUCGUAUCCUUUCUCUUUUUUUUCUUUUUUUAGAGCACUCAUCUCAUGAAAUAAUAUAGCAAGUGGUAGUGACCAAGAUAACUUGAGCAUUUAUUUUACAGGGAAAAACAGAAAUAAGAGAAUGUUUUUGGCUAUUCUCUCCCGGAUUAGGAAUAGAAUACUUUUGGGUGGUUCUGGAGAUGGAAAUGGGUGCAUAUAUGUGGAUGCGUACUUCUAGAGUAGAAGCAGCAUGUGUGAGUGAACGUGCAAGUGAAUCUUGAUUUAACCACAUGACAAGCUCCUAAGGGUCUACACAGCUUGACCACACUCAAUGCUCAUAAACAGUAAAAAGUAAAUGUGUGGCUCAAAGUCUAGGAAGCAUGUAUAUAUGGCUGUGGUAGGAAUUUAAACUCUCAUCAUACAGGACCUCAUCAUGUGAUAUUUUAAAAUUUUUCAAAGAUAAAAUUCUCUAGAAUUCUAGCAUCUCUAGGAAUAGAUAAACAGCAGCUCAACCUUCUCAUAUCAUAUCGUUAACAACUUAGACUUCAGAUCAAGUUCUCUUCCCACAAGUUCAGGUUUAGAGCUAGCUUUAAAUUAUAACAGUUAUGUCUAAACUUGAAAGAAAACUUCAAAUUCGAAAAUUUAGGCAGAGCAACUAUUCAUCAUAUCCAUGCUAGAGUUUUAUUAAGACUCAGUUUAGCAUAGCCACUUUAUUUAUUUAUUAAGCACACUAAGCAAAAGAUAUAUAUAUAUAUAAGCACAAAAUCUUUAUUUGGUUUUUUCAUGAUUAUGUAUAUUUUUAUUUUAGUAUAGUAUAAGUAUAAAUGUAGAUAGAAAUACUUAGCGGGAUAAAUGGGGGUGCUCUCUCCCCAAGCUGGAUUUUGACGUAAUUUCUUCUGAUGUAGCUAGCAGGUGGUGGAGGUGUAUUUGAAUGUCGGUAGCACCCUGACAGCGAUUAGAAUGUCCUCCGUCUACUAGUCUUCUUGAUCCUUGAAUUAUAUGGAGCUCAAAUUGACAACAAAGCUUUGUGGAACUGAUUAAGUGUUAGCAUAAAUAUCUUAGCCUUUAUCAUGUUGAGCCUCCUUAAUAAUUGCUACUUCCUUUGGUAGGAUCACAAUUUUAUUUUUUUAUUUUUAUAGAGCAGAACAAUAUUUUUAUUAUUUUUUUAUGCCACCACAGUGAAUGUACUUAUGGGUUUUAUGCCACUUGUAUACUCACAUGGGGCUUACUGGUUUUAACAUUUUUAUUUUUCUUUUUAAGAUGAUAUGAGCCUGAUUAAGUAAGCAAACUAUUUAAAUAAUUGAAAGGAAAAGGAUAACUACCAAAUUUACCUUUUGGCAAUGCGUUUGGUGUUUUUAAGUCCUCCGAACGGGACUCCCUGUUUUCUCAGUCGUCCCGUGAUUCGCUGGAUGGCGUAGUCGGUGGUUCCGGCGGCGCCUCCUCUUCGUGUAUAACUAUUUUCUCUCUCCACACCUCACUCGGUGCCACGGUCUCCUUAGGAUAGUUCUAUUCAAGCUAUAUGUCUUCAGACCUUACUACUUCUCCUUCGUAGUCUGCCCAUCCGUCCUUGAUGAUUUGCCUCCUCUGGUUGCGGUUGCGUCGUCUUCUUCUUGUCCUGACCUGCUUAGAGUCUUCAACUAUAUAGUUAGGGUCAGUAAAAUAGCGGCGUACCUUCUCAGAGGGUAAGUGCAUGUGGACUUCUCCGGUUCCAAUGUAGAUGAUUGCUUUAACAGUGCUGAGGAAAGGUCUCCCAAGGAUGAUGGGUGGAUCGUACUCGUCUUCUCCCAUGUCAAUAACCUGAAAGUCUGUAUGGACAAAAUGAUCCUCUAUUUUGACAGGGACAUCAGUUACUAUACCUUCAACCUUUCAGAAUGUCUGAUCUGCCAUCUGGAGCUGAAUGUAUGUCGGUUUUAGGGGCAUGGUUACGAACAGGAGCCGAUAGGUGACUGCGGCCAUUAUGUUGACACCUGACCCGGUGUCGCAAAGUGUCUUGUAGAAGUUGAAUCCAUUAAUGGAGCACUGGAUGCUUGGCAUACCUGGGUCGUCCUUCUUUGUCAAGAACGGUGACUUGAGUUGACAAUCUUGACCUCCAUGAACUGCAGUGACCAUCUUAGCUGACUCGGUCCACACUUGCUUGUUCCUAUUCCUCCUGUUGGUCCUCUUCCUUGGUUCAUGUCGGGAUUGCUCUGGGAUUUGUGUAAUCUUGUUCUUGAAGGAAAACGUCUCCUUCCUCCCUUUGAUGUAGAAACUGAUCUUGGUAGCACUAGCGUAGAUGACAGCUCCCGAGGUGUUCAGAAAUGGCCUCCCUAGGAAGACGGGUGCCCUCUCAUCAUUACGGUCUCUAUUAAGCCUGGGCAUUCGGGUUACCCGAUUUUUUCGGGUCGGGUAAUUCGGGUAAUUCAAAAUUUGGGUAAUGAAAAUUGUUACCCGUUAUUAGUCCCGAAAAAAUACUACCCGCAAUUUCGGGUACCCGAUAAUUCGGGUUCGGGUUCGGGUAUUCCCGAUUUACCCAAAAUUUCAAAAAACAACACGCUAUACAAAAUUUCAAUAGCAAUUUAUAUAUAAUUUCAGCAGCAAUUUGUAUAGAAUUUCAAUAGCAUUUUGUAGAGAAUAAUAUAUUAUUAUCACUUGUUCAAACAAAGAGAAUUAUGUUCUAAUAAUUUGAUAAGUUCCAAUAUUUAACUAACAACACAUGAUAAAUACAAAGAAUAGACAAAUAUUUGGGUAAUUCGGGUACCGGGGGAUAUUACCCGAAUUACCCAAACUAAUUUCGCAUAAUCAAAAUCGCUAUCCGAAUUUAGGAUCGGGUAGCUCGGGUUUGGGUAAUUCCGGUCCGGAUCCGGGUAAUUCGGGUACGGGUAAUGGGUAUCAGGUAAUUUGCCCAGGCUUAGUCUCUAUCACCAUGAAGUCUGUUGGGGCGUACAAGGUACCAACUCGGACGUAGAGGUUCUUCAAUAUUCCCUUUGGGAAACUUAGCGUCCGAUCUGCAAGCUGCAAACACAUGGGUUUUUAUAGUAAAGGAUAUUUAAAAAAAAUCAUAGAAUACCCUGGGCAUAAUGUUGACACUAGAGCCAAAGUCGCAGAGUGCUUCUGGGAAGUCCACCAUGCCGAUGGAGAUCGGGAUGACGGGGUAUCCUGGAUCGCCUCUCUUGACCGGCAGAAGGUUAGUAGUAACUUCCACAACGGGGUUACUCCAGUAGUUACCUGUAUCAAGCAUGUCUACAAGAUUUGCAGAUUCUAAUCAUUCCGGUUGUGAUGGUAUACCGUGGUUAGUAACAGGAACGGCAACAGCUAUUUGAUUUAACUAAGAUUCAAUCAUUUUAUUAAAGCUAAUUAGAUUCUUGAUGGCAGUAGAGAAAUUAUCCAUUCUAUUAUUUAUAUUUUCUAACAUUUUAUCAUUAGAUACCAAUUUCUUAGAUAGGUUAUCCAUUAGCUUUCCUUGAUUAGACACUAACUCUCUCAGAGGUGCAAAAUUAUUAUUAUUAUUGUAGGAAUUAUUACCUUGAUAAUUACCUGAGUAGUUAGGCCUCUGUUGAUUCCAACCUUGAUUUUGUUGAGGACGGUUGUAGUAGCUGUUGUUGUUGUUGAUGAUGUAGUUCACGUCCUCAAGCAUCUCAGGGCAGUGAUUGCCUGAGUGUCCAGUAUCUCCACUCCUCGCAAGUCAUGUGAGAGUCAUAGACGUGCAUGACUUCUUUCUUGUCUCCAGCUCUAUCAUCGAGCUUCUUCAUGAGUAGGUCUAGCUUGGCAGACAGCAUGUCUACCUCCUUGAGCUGAUGUGUACCUCCACCUCUCUUGCGUGUCUGGGUCCUUUCUUCGUUCCACCCUUGGUUGGACACCAUCUUCUCCACAAGAGCUGUGGCUUGUGAUAUGGUGAGGGAUAAGAAUGCUCCUCCAGCUGCAGCAUCCAUGGUCUCUCAGGCACUAUUGCUGAGCCCAUGAUAAAACAUCUUCAUCAGUAGCCAGCUCUCCAUUUCAUGAUGGGGAUAUUCUAGGAUGUAGUCUUGGAAGCGCUCCCAUGCUUCUGGAACGGAUUCAUCAUGUUGUUGUUGAAAACUUGUAAUUUUCUCACGGAGAGCAUUGGUCUUGCCCAUCGGAAAGAACUUAGCUAGAAAGUUCAUGGAUCAUAGUGCCCACUUAGUAUUCUUCUCCUUUGUAGCGUAGAACCACUGCUUCGCACUCCCCAACAGUGAGAAUGGGAAAAGGCGAAGUAGUAUAGCAUCUCUGGGGACUCCUGACAUGGUAAAUGUGCUGCAAAUCUCUAGGAAGUGUUGGAGAUGAGCACUAGCGUCUUCGUGUGCCUUCCCACAGAACUGGUUGGAUUACACCUUGUUGAUGAGCCUAGGCUUGAGCUCAAAGUUGCCGUCGAUCUCUGCAGCAGGUCCAGUGCAGAUGUUGUCCGUAGUGGGAGCUGAGAACUCAUGGAUCGAUUUAUUCGCCAUAACUUCGAACUCUGAAGACAAGUUCUGGGUGAAACUUCGGUGAUCUUGUUGAUUGGAUGAAGCUUCGUGCUGAAGUGUUGACGAUCUCUUCUUGAACUUGGCUCUUGUUUUUCUGAAUAAUGCUUCGGGAUUGUCAACAAAAUUUCCUGGAUGAUGUCUUCUAUUCAUACAUUACCCUACAUAAAAUAAUCAAAAUAGAAAAAUAGGGGUAAAACUGUAUGAGAGAAUUGAUAAUCUCGAUCAUAUUAGUGAUGCGAAUGAUGUCUCGAAAUUCCAUAUUCAUUCCUUAUUGGUAAUCAACCUUCCGCAGCAACGGCGCCAAAAAUGCUUGUUGGGCAUUCUUAAUGUCAUUACAAAAAGUAGACUUAGUUUUCUAAUUCUGAUAACGGCGCCAAAAAUGCCGAACCUAUCCCUUGUGCCACUUGAGCCAAGUUGUCAUCCCCAGCAUGACAUGAGAGACGUGGUAUUGAAAUAUGCAAUUGCUCUUGUGAAUGAAUAAUAAAUGAGAUCUGCAAGCGCACAGAUUAAUAUCGAUGUAGUAUUUUAACCGGGAAGUAUUCCAAGGUAUCGUUAUUUAUAUUUUUACCACUGGGAAGGGAUUGCUAAUCAUCAAUGUUGAUUAUAGAAUGGAAUAUGGAAUUGAGUAUCUAUCAUCGCAUGUAUAAUAGAGAGCAUUUAUCUAUCUCUUUCAUAUAGGGAUAAAUGUCACAUAAAAGAUAGAUAAAGUAUGAAUGGUGAUAAAGAUAAUUAAUCUGAUCAGCAUAACUAGCUACAUAUAAUAAUGAUAAGCACCUCAAUAGAUAUUCUACCAAGUCAUUAGCAUGGAAUUAGGAUGAACUACAAGAAUAUUUCCUAAGUUAUUCUUAACUAUAAAGUCUAGCAAGUUGAUAUUUGGGAACGCAAUAAGGAAUUGAUCCGCAAGAGCACGGAUAUCGGUGAGCACUUCACCCGGGAGGUUAUCCAGAGUAUCGUAUUUAUAUUUUUACCACUAGGAGAAAGAGUGCAUCUGACUAACCCGGUCUAUUACUACUAACCCUUUAGGCAACAAAGAAUGUUUCUCGAUGUGAGUAAUAAAUAGAGAAGACUACAACCGUAAUCUCCUUCUAACCUUGGUAAGGAUGAUCUAUUGUUCUAUUGGGGAAGCUAACGGAAUCUAGACACCACAGAGGAUGUUCGACCCGCAUCUAUAAACCCUAUCCUUUCUGCCAACGAGAUAUGGUCUUCAAAGGUAACUCGAAAAUGUCACGUUCCUCGCUACUACCACGGUCCAGCUAGUCAGGGAAUAUCUAUGAGUACCCUAGCCUAAACACCACGUUUACGCUAGCAAUGAUUACUCUAAACUCUACGCAAAGAGAUUAAAGUAAACUCAUAAACCAAAAGAACAAUAAAACAAGAACUUACUAGAAUUUAGAAGUCGAAAUACUGAAGAAUCCUAGGAGCAAGCUUCGGGUUAGGAGAACUUGAUCCCGUAGGUACAAGCUCGGAGUAGACACCGACAGGCCGAGCUUCCUCCGUUCUACACCUCCACUCUAUCUCUCUCAAUCUAGUAGAAACUAGAAGAUCUAUUUCUACUCGCAUUGGAUGCUAAGCCUAAAAAGAAACUUUAUUUAGAGGAGAGGUUUUCCUUCGAGGGCUCCCCUCAACUCUAUGAUAAACUUGUCUCCUCCAGGGGCCAGGGGGUGUGGUUUUAUAGUCCCCUCAAGUGAACGUGAGCCAUUGGAUCAAACCGACAUUGAUUGGACGGUUAUCCUUGAUCCUUUAGGUCGGUGGAGUGUCGUGUGCGAAUAGAGUCCUGAUCCAACUCCAGGAGGGGGUGGGCGCCUAGGUCAACUGGGCGGGCGCCCAGUGCCUGGCCCCGUUCGGCCUCUGCUUCUUCCUGUGGCUUCUGGAGUCUUCUAGAUGGUAGAAAAUUGCGCGAUGCGUUGAUAUCUCUAUGUAAUCCCGACAUGUGGGCCUUUCUUCAUUAUUUCCUGAUAACCCCCUUCAGAAACAGAUAAACAACAAAACUCGUGGAAUUCUGUCAGAUCAAACCUUAAUUCUUGGUGUUGUUUGUAUAUUGGUCCUUUCUCUUGUUUAUUUGAUAAUUAAAAUUAAUACUUAAGAACCGUCAACAAAUACCCCCAUUCUUAGGCUUUUACUCGUCCUCGAGAAAAGGAUGGUUAAGAACAAUAUCUGGGGUAAAACAUUUUUAAAAUAUUCUCUUCAUAACUGUAGGGUGUUAAAAUCCACUGUGUACUAUAAUCAGGGAAGUAUAUGGUUAAGAGUAAAGAUCCUUUCUUCUCAAUCCUGUCACUUGGAGUUUUUGUAUAUUUUUGAAAAGAAAGUUAGCAUACCUUUUAUCCUCAUAGGUUCUCUCAGAUCACUCAUUAUCUUUUAUAUAUCUCACUGAGGCUGUUUUAAUUUGCAAAAAUUCUCAAGCUUACUUACCUUGUAUUUAUUGCCUGAUCAAAACAGGAUCCGAGGAGGGGAAUGUCAUACUCUUAGAUCAAAGACUUUGGAAAUUAAAAACUUUGUCAACUCUUGCUGGCAUAUUGCUUAUUAGAGGGACCAUGGGCUAUCAUUUUUUUUCUUUUUUUUAAGUGGAUACCGAGGUACCCCUAAUUCUGCUGCCGGACACUUAUCCAUUUUUUUUCUGUGAGGUUGUCGAGCACUUGCUCCUUUUUAUUUCCUCGAAAUAUCUCUAUUUUUGCAUAGCCCAUGCCUCUAAUGCAAUAAUACUUCAGAAGAUUGAAUCUUUCUGAAUAAAUGUCUUGAUCUUAGGAGCAUGAUAAAUCUCUCAACAAGGGUCUAACUCAUUUGAAUAAACUCAAUACAUAGUAGAUAGCCUUUAUAAUCAUAAUUAAUUUUUUCUAGUUUUAGUAGGCAUAUAAAACACUGAGGAUGGUAGCUAGAAUUUUUGAAGAUUUUGAAAUAAAUUCUCCAAGUAACAAUGAUAUCAAGAAUAAGAAACUCAUACUCUACCAUCUCAUAUUCCAUAAUGACUUAAGUAACACAAGGUUUUUAAAAUGAUUCUUUUCCAAUAAUUGCAAGUUUUAGGAAAUAUUAGAGAGUGAGAUUAAUCAUGUUUAGAAAUAUUUUAAUCUUUUUAAUUUAUCAUAUUAGAAACAAUAUUCUGCAUAAUCCAAGAUAUAUGUAUGUGUAAUAGUAAAGUGUGCAGAGUGUGUACCUGAAUCGUGGAGUGGUGUAGUCGAAGUGUGUUUGGCAUGUCGAGGGAUCUCCCCCAUACUUGUUUUCUGCUUUCUUGCACAAAAAUAAAGUAGAGACACACAAGACAUAAUAAUAAUAAUACUCUUUAUUAAUCUUGAGGCAUUUAUUACAAAAGACUAGUAGCAAACUGAUGAUAAUUGUAGCAAUUUGACAAUAAUAGUAAACCUAAACUGAAUUUAAAGAUAGAUAACUAAAAUGCAUUGCCUCAAGAUCUAAUCUAGAUAACUUAGCGGUGCUCUAACUCCUUGAUCUUCUUAUUGGCACAGGCAAGAUCAUGCCUAAGGCCUAGUAUAAUGGUGUUGUGGUUAGAGAGCUAUCUAGUGAGAGAAUUAAUUGAGGACUGGAGGUCUAAGAUAACUUUGUCUACCCUGCGAAUGUCCUCAUCAAUAUCCAUUAUAGUCUUGCGACGCUUGGGAGGUGUCUCAAAAGCAUUGAGAGCAUGCUUCGGGGCUGCCUUUGGAGGGAUGAAACGGACUUUGGCUGCUCUAACCCCUUCAAAGUAAGGCCUCUCCUGCUCCGUAGUGUAGCGAAUGCUACUGAUCUCGCCGCUCCGGUUGGUCUUGACUCCAACGACCCUCUCAUUGGGUCUAGGUGGAAGGAUCCUCGUGCCGGUUGGCACCUUGAUGGUGGUCUUCGUCUUGGAUGAUGAUCCCUUAAGGAGUAGGGGUUGUGGCGGUGCGGUGAGAACUGGUUGAGCAUGGUAGGAUUGGGCGGAGCUGCGUUGGGGUAAUGGCAUGGCUUCUAGCUGUCGCUCUGUGUUGGCCAGGACGAGAGCACGGGCGUCGGGGUCUUCCUUAGGCUCCAUGUUGAGGUUGAAGGGGACGACUUCCCAAUCAUCGUGGAACUUCUCGGCCAUUGGAGCAGCAAGGGACUAAUCAAGCUCUAAUUGAAGAAGAAGAGAAGGCUUGGUGGUUUUGUGUUUGAAAACUGAUGUCAGGGGUCUGUUUAUAUAGGGGUCAAAAAGUGCCUCUAGGGGUUUGUUCUGGUUGCUCCCGUCGAUGUGCGUACGAAACUUUCCAUCUGAGGGAUUAUUCGGAUUACCAUAAGUGCAUUUUCCAUAAUAGAGAAAAUCGGGACCGAGGGGGAACAGGAGCUGGGCGCCCGCCCUCUCUCUGGCCCCUCUGUGGGCCCACUUUCUCGAGCGUGUUUCUAGAUGCAGAACUAUUUAGGAAAAUAUAUGUAUGACCCAAAAAUGUU
rnacentral:lncRNA from 1 species